rnacentral:rRNA from 1 species
AGGGAAUAUUGCAAAAUGGGCGAAAGCCCUAUGCAGCAACGCCGCGUGGGCGAUGAAGGCCUUCGGGUCGUAAAGCCCUUUUUGAGGGGAUGAGGAAGGACAGUACCCUCAGAAUAAGCCUCGGCUAACUACGUGCCAGCAGCCGCGGUAAAACGUAGGAGGCGAGCGUUAUCCUGAUUUACUGGGCGUAAAGCGCGUGCAGGCGGAUUGGAGAGUUGGAUGUGAAAGCUCCCGGCUUAACUGGGAGAGGUCGUUCAAUACUUCCAGUCUUGAGUGCAGUAGAGAGAAGUGGACUUCCGGGUGUAGUGGUGAAAUGCGUAGAUAUCCGGAGGAACACCAGUGGCGAAAGCGGCUUCCUGGACUGUAACUGACGCUCAGACGCGAAAGCUAGG